AACAAAGGGUUACUUAUAAAUACAAAUGGUUAUGAAGUAAGACAUUACGUGAUGUAUAUACUGAUAUUUAGUACUUAAAUUUUCGAAUACAUAAAAAUUACAAAAUAACCAAAAAUGUUUUUUUUAGCGAUGCAACACAAGCGCCCUCUUUUGACAUCCUAAUUUCGACUUUUGGUUGGCCGGGGAGAGUCCGUAGCCUAGGAAACGGGUGUAGCUACAAGACAACAACAUUGAUGUCAAUUUUCUUAUCACGUUACAUAAAAAUUAACUCAUAGAUCCAACAGAUAUCGAACUAAAGCUUUUAAUUAGUUUUUUAAUCUUGUCGCAAUUUAAAAGUGUUUUUUACAAAUCCAGAGGCAAUGAGGUUUUUGACAGUUCAAAGUAUGGCUGGCAGACUUUGAGUGCGCCGGCGACGAGGUGCUCGUGGAGUCGUCGCCGCCUGCCUCCCCCAACAUGGCGGCGCGGCUCGCGGGCCCCACGCAGGGUGCGGGCGCGGGCGGCGGCGCGUCGCCGAGCACUGUCCGCGAGCUCAUCGUCAUACCGGAGAUACCUAACUCCAUACAUCUGCAGCACGCUAUCCAGCAGGUAUGAACACUACAAAGUCGGGGGGAGAAGGGAUUGGCAAUAAUAGGGAUUUAAUUUCCCUGUCAGGUCGACCUCCUCGCGGCUCUCCCUGGAAACUAUCGUGUUCAUCUCCAAGUGAAUUGGUCAUGAUGAGCUGACCUGCCUUUUCAUUCUCAU
rnacentral:lncRNA from 1 species